AUACGUAGGGUGCAAGCGUUAAUCGGAAUUACUGGGCGUAAAGCGUGCGCAGGCGGUUUUGUAAGGCAGAGGUGAAAUCCCCGGGCUCAACCUGGGAAAUGCCGCUUUGACUGCAAGGCUAGAGUACGGCAGAGGGGGAUGGAAUUCCGGGUGUAGGAGUGAAAGUCGUAGAUAUGCGGAGGGACACCGAUGGCGAAGGCAAUCCCCUGGGCCUGUACUGACGCUCAUGCACGAAAGCGUGGGGAGCAAACAGGAUUAGAUACCCUGGUAGUCCACGCCCUAAACGAUGUCAACUGGUUGUUGGGGAUUUAUUUUCUCAGUAACGAAGCUAACGCGUGAAGUUGACCGCCUGGGGAGUACGGCCGCAAGGUUAAAACUCAAAUGAAUUGACGGGG
rnacentral:rRNA from 1 species